UACGGGGGGAGCAAGCGUUGUUCGGAUUUACUGGGCGUACAGGGAGCGUAGGCGGUUGGAUAAGCCCUCCGUGAAACCUCCAGGCUUAACCUGGAAAGUGCAGAGGGGACUGUUCAGCUAGAGGAUGGGAGAGGAGCGCGGAAUUCCCGGUGUAGCGGUGCAAUGCGUAGAGAUCGGGAGGAAGGCCGGUGGCGAAGGCGGCGCUCUGGAACAUUUCUGACGCUGAGGCUCGAAAGCGUGGGGAGCAAACAGG
rnacentral:rRNA from 1 species